UACAGAGGAGCCAAGCGUUGUCCGGAUUGACUGGGCGUAAAGCGCACGCAGGCGGUCGUGCGCGUGGGGUGUGAAAUCUGGCCGCUUAACGGCCAGGCGCCAUCCCAUACGGCACGACUGGAGCGAUGCAGAGGUCGGUGGAAUUGCCGGUGUAGUGGUGAAAUGCGCAGAUAUCGGGAAGAACACCCGUGGCGAAGGCGGUUCUCUGGGACGGUACUGACGCUGAGACGCGAAAGCGUGGGGAGUGAACAGG
rnacentral:rRNA from 1 species